GGGCUGGCUUCGGCAGCACACAUGCUAAAAUUGGAACGAUACAGAGAAGAUGAGUGUGGCCCAUGCGAGGAGGACACGCAAACUCGCGAAGUGUUCCACAUUUUC
rnacentral:snRNA from 1 species